UGUACGUGUUGCCGACCAGCUUGGCAACAUGGACUGGAGCGAGAGUUUCAGAGCGGAGGAGUGAGUGAGGAUGGCUGAUCCGUCUGACACGCAGGAGAUUCCUCUUUGAUCCCUGACCGACCAUCAUCAGCCGGCUGCUCAGCCUCUGCUGACUUCAUCUAGCAAAGCUUCUUUAGUCCUUUAAGUCACAGGUGGGAUUGUUUCCCCAGUACCAGUUUGGCAUGACGGCAACAUCAUCGGUUGGUUAAUAAACCCAUAUUCUUUCAUUUUU